GCCCAAGUGGCGGAAUUGGUAGACGCGCUGGGUUUAGGUUCCAGUGAAUUAAUUCGUGGAGGUUCAAGUCCUCUCUUGGGCA
rnacentral:tRNA from 1 species